GCGGAGGAAAAGAAACCAACAGGGAUUGCCCUAGUAACGGCGAGUGAAGCGGCAAUAGCUCAAAUUUGAAAGCUGGCCUCUGGUCCGCAUUGUAAUUUGUAGAGGAUGCUUUUAGGCAGCCGCCGGUCUAAGUUCCUUGGAACAGGACGUCAUAGAGGGUGAGAAUCCCGUAUGUGACCGGCUCAGGCACCUUCUGUAAAGCUCCUUCGACGAGUCGAGUUGUUUGGGAAUGCAGCUCUAAAUGGGAGGUAAAUUUCUUCUAAAGCUAAAUACCGGCGAGAGACCGAUAGCGCACAAGUAGAGUGAUCGAAAGAUGAAAAGCACUUUGGAAAGAGAGUUAAAAAGCACGUGAAAUUGUUGAAAGGGAAGCGCUUGCAAUCAGACUUGGACUUGGCUGUUCAACCGGUCUUCUGACCGGCCCACUCAGUCUUGUCCAGGCCAGCAUCAGUUUCGGCGGCCGGAUAAAGGCCCCGGGAAUGUAGCUGCCUCUUCGGGGGCAGUGUUAUAGCCCGGGGUGUAAUACGGCCAGCCGGGACUGAGGUCCGCGCUUCGGCUAGGAUGCUGGCGUAAUGGUUGUAAGCGGCCCGUCUUGAAACACGGACCAAGGAGUCUAACAUCUAUGCGAGUGUUAGGGUGUCAAACCCUUACGCGUAAUGAAAGUGAACGGAGGUGGGAACCCGCAAGGGCGCACCAUCGACCGAUCCUGAUGUCUUCGGAUGGAUUUGAGUAAGAGCAUAGCUGUUGGGACCCGAAAGAUGGUGAACUAUGCCUGAAUAGGGUGAAGCCAGAGGAAACUCUGGUGGAGGC
rnacentral:sRNA from 1 species